rnacentral:rRNA from 1 species
UACGUAGGAUGCAAGCGUUGUCCGGAUUUACUGGGCGUAAAGCGCGCGCAGGCGGCACAGUAAGUAAGGUGUGAAAUAUCCCUGCUCAACGGGGAGGGUGCACUUUAGACUGCUGAGCUUGAGGUCGGUAGAGGGGGGUGGAAUUGCUGGUGUAGCGGUGAAAUGCGUAGAGAUCAGCAGGAACACCCGUGGCGAAGGCGGCCCCCUGGGCCGUACCUGACGCUGAGGCGCGAAGGCUAGGGGAGCGAACGGG